rnacentral:rRNA from 1 species
AGCGAACGCUGGCGGCGUGCUUAACACAUGCAAGUCGAGCGAAGGUGUUUCAAGGGUAACCUUGAGAUACACUUAGCGGCGGACGGGUGAGUAAUACGUGGAUAACUUACCUCUAGGCCUGGGAUAACCCCGGGAAACUGGGGCUAAUACCUGAUAAGACCACAUUGUCUACGGACAAAGGGGUAAAAGGUGGCUGUGCAAACAGCUAUCGCCAAAAGAUAGGUUCACGUCCCAUCAGGCAGUUGGUGAGGUAAUGGCUCACCAAACCAAAGACGGGUAGCCGGCCUUGGCGGGUGAACGGCCACACGGGGACUGAGACACGGCCCCGACUCCUACGGGAGGCAGCAGGUGGGGAAUAUUGGGCAAUGGGCGCAAGCCUGACCCAGCGACGUCGCGUUGGGAAGAAGGCC